GUCAGUUACUCAAUAUUGUUACGAGCUCGGACUCAGGAUUAAUGAAAACUAUUCACAUAGGAAGGAGUAUUUUUGUCCUGAAGGCGGUUGUAACUUCACCAGGACAGUAAGCCGAGCACGCGCUCAACCAUGAGGGGUGGGAAUUGCUAAUAGCUUCCCGAGCUUUUCCGAAGGAGACUUAUCAGUUUAAGGGCAGCUGCGUCACGAAAACAUCUACCAAAUCGUAAACGCGACCCGUUGAGGAAAUCCGAUGAGAAACUCAGCGGAUAGAUGUUAUAGGUUAGGUUUCACGUCGAGCUCCUUAACGAGUUCGACGAGUUAGCAGGGUCGAUAUGCCUGCUCCAAUUGUUAAAGCUGUAGGCGUCUAUUAAGAGUAUAGGUUUUUUUUAUGAUUAAAAGAUUACUGUUGGCCCGGAGGCCUUUCCAGUUUCACCAGGACAGGUGGGCGAGCAAAGGCUCAACCAGGAGGAGGAGUGACAACUGCCCGAGCGCCUCCGAAGGAGAUCUAACAACUCAAGAGCAGCUGCUUCGCGAAUGAAUCUAGGUACUACCGGAUCGGAAUUGCGACCCGCUGAGAAGGUCCGGCGAGCAAAGAUUAUUGGUUGCGACUCUCUUCAUGUCUUUUAUGCCAAGCUUGUAUAGUCGUUACGAAAAAAAUUUGUAACUGGUUUAAUAUCCUGACAAGUAUUAAUACGAUAAAAUAGGAUGAAAUUAAUUGUUAGUUCGGUUGGCUAUUUAAACGUUUUUUUUAUAGAUUUAAUUAUAUAAACGUUUCGCUACUCAUCUUGAGACAUGAGCUUUAUUUUCUCUUAAUAUCCUAAUUCUUAACCAUUUAAGUAUGUCGAAUAUUACUGUUUGACUAGCAAUCUGUAUGUUUCUGCCACGAAGCAAUUAUCCGUUUUCGUUUAAUUUGUAGGAAAGGCAUAUUAUGUAACAGAUUCUUUUGUCUAUGGGUGGGCACCGACAUUCACACUACGGGGUCUACAAGCCCAUCACUUGUACCAUGAAAAAAGGCCAUCUUUGUUCCUAUUUUGGGGGAAAAAACUUAAAGUAUUUUUGAAAUGAUUAAGAAAACUAAUAAAUCACGUUUCAAAUUUAUUUCACAUAGUUUAAUUACACAUAAUUCACAUUUAAAACAGAAAUGUGUAUCACAGAUCGUUACAAGUAACUAGCUUGAUUCCAUCGCUAAACAGACCUAUAAAAAUGGACGAUGCUUAAAAACCAUCCAGAUAUCUAGAGCUGGGCAAUGUUUUAACGAUAUAUACUCGUAUAUAACAACAGCCUUCAAAAAAAAAAGCAGCACUAUUAUGAACGUUUAAAUUUCCCGAAAAAAAACAACCGAAAAGAAAUGACAACAAGAAAUAACAAACCGACUCAUGUGAAUCUUUGGUAAAAAAAUCAAGAUAAAAGUAUCUAGUGGUCGAAAUUAUCUAUCUUCACGUCGCAACACGAUAACAAAUUAUCAUUUUGACGUCACAAUAAUAAUAUUAAGAUUGUUUAUCAGUUUGCGUUAAAAAAAUAAAAUUAAAACAAACUAACGGGUGAAAUGUACAUACAAUGUUUUCGUUUUCCUUUUCUUAUCAAUAAUAGCACUUACAAAAUCGCAUACAGUACAAAGCGACCUCAAAGAAAGAUAAAAGGUACAUAACUACAUCAUUUUUAAUUGACAUAACUAGAAAAUCAGACAUCAAUUGCGAAUACUUAAAAUUAAAAAUAAGUUCUUUGCCUAUCAUGGAUUACAACAACAGUGAAUGAUACAUAAUAUAUUAUGGAUGUUUAUUGUGUGGAUAAAUUUUCACUUUUUUUUGGAUAAUAUGAAGUUACUUUAGUUUCAUUAAAAAACGUUACUAAUUUACUACAUUUGAAUGGCGAAGGCGGCGCAAAAUAGAUAGAUAUCAAGCAAUUUAUUCUGUUACCUUACAAAAAUGAUUUAUUCUAAACUAUUUAAAUCCCUAAAAUCUGUUAUAACAUUUUUAAACAGCAUAAAACACAAUAAUUCUAUUUUAAUAAAUACAAUAAUCAUGACUAUAGUAAAUAUUGAAUCUGACAUACAUUAAAUCUUUAAUUAUACCUUACAUACAAACGCACAUUAUAAGGACUUAUAUCUUUGUAAUUAAUAAUAACCACUAGGCCACGAUGUAUUAUCAAUUGCAUUCGACGCAUUCUCAUCAUAUCAUUAGGAAAAUCCCAUUGGAACUUGACACAUCGCUGACUGCCAACGACGCACAUCGACUAGACGCAUCCGAAGGUUACCACGAAAAAACCCAAAUGAAGGUACUAUUAAUUAUUUGCACUUUAUCACAAUCCCUUGUUUUCACAAGAAAAUGAAACGGUGAUUCGCCAUAAAAUACUCGACGAAUUCCAUAAACAAUUUAGCUUCAAUUCUCGUCAUAUUCAGGUAAAGCGGGCAGUGUCAGACACUGUUUUCUGUUCUUACGUCUCCUCCUGGUUUUGUUUGGUUUCUUCAAGUCUCCGCUGUUGUAUUCCUUGUCCUCCGGGAGCGGUGGAAGACAACGCUUCGGUCGGCGCGGCAGCACGCAUUCCGUUACGAAGUAGUUAAUUUCUUUGCACCGGAGCAUGUCGACGUCGGGAUAUUCCGACAAGAAGCAAGGGAACGAUAAUUUCACUAACAUUUUUAACACGAGCGCACGCUAUGACGCCACGCAACUAACU